GCCUGGCUCGCUCAGUUGGUAGAGGUUGUGACUCUUGAUCUCAGGGUCAUGAGUUCGAGUUCCAUGCUGGGCA
rnacentral:tRNA from 1 species